UGACCUAUGACCUUGGUGACGUGAUGCGGCGGGAAGAAGUAAAAUACUUUUCGUGUUUGUUAUUUUUCUUGAACAAUUUUUUACAGUUACACCAUGAGAGCUAAGAUUGUUUCGGAAUCUAAUAGCUUUGUUCAGUUUUUGAAGUUGUGUCAAGAUGACAACAAGGAUUCCUGGGUUUAUCAGGAGUAUAUUAAAAUAUCAAAGCGUAAUGAUGAUCCUCUUCUCAGCAUGAUUGAAGGAAACCAACCUGCCUUCAUCUGUGAGAAAAUGCCUCCACCAGUUUAUGAGUCUGAGGACACAGAGAGCACAGAUGAAAUCAGUCUCAGUGAAGAAGCACCUGUUAAACCGCAAGAGCUCAACAUCGGGCCACUUCCACUCAGUGUCAGUAGAGCAAGAGAGAUAUUGUCCUGGUACGCCAUGUCUCAGAAUCCGAACAUGUCCCAUGUGGACGCUCAGGAUCUGCAUCCUCUCUGGGUCCGUUGUGACAUGCAGGACCCUGCUAGCACGUCCUGGCUGGGAGCAGAGACAGUCUACACUGGCAACAAGGCCACAGCGGUUAAACUGUACACAGUCAGCUGUAAAGGGUCGUCAGUGGAUGAGGCCUUGUUUAUCACAAUGGAUCAGCUAAAACAAGAACACCAGAACAGACACCAUUCCUCAGCGGUGUUGACAAAAGGCUGGGCCAAAUACAAUCUUUUUUGCUCGGUGAAGGAAGAGAGUUUGGUUAUUGACUCUGAGAGCAGCAUAACAGCUAACUUUAGAUGGAACAAUGUAGAGAAGAUUUUGGAGAUGCCGCCCCUGUCGUCUACAGUUACGCUGCAUAUUAAGGUGACAGCUGGAGACAUCAGGAGCCCUAUGUAUCAGACCUACAAAGAGCUGGAAUUUCUUCUGACUCUGGCUGAAGGCUUGAGGAUGGGGGAGAUAGAGUGGUUGGAGCCAGUAGAGACACGGUCUGCUGUGGAUCUAACCCGAGCACUUAUUGAAGAGUUGGAGAAUAUUGCAAAUGCAGUCCCAGGCCAGAAUUUAAAAGGAUCAGAGAACCAGAAGGGCAAAAACGACUCUGUGGUGGGUUUAGGCUGUAUGUUAAUAGAAAGAGGAGACCUGGACUUCACUGAGCAACUCUGGGAGAAGCUGAGAAGAAGCGUGACCUCAUAUCAGGACAUAACAGACUCUCUGAAAUUGGUGAUCAAAGCUGUGCGGUUUGGGCAAAUUAAACCUUGGGUCCACAGGGACAGCAGUAGCUCUCUGAGUAAACUGAUAGUACAGUCCUACCAGCAGCAGGUGGACACAGUGCCUCUCACCGGCCUCACUCCUCCCACCAUGCUGCUGGAGCUGGGCCUGGACAAGAUGAGGAAAGACUACAUCAACUACCUCGUUGGGAAUGAGCUGACAACUCUCAACCACCUGAGUUACUACCUCAGCAGUGAGGUGAAUCUACAAGAGCAGGUGAUCAGACUGAGGAAACUGCACCACCUGCUGGAGGUCCUGGGCACCUGCAGCAGCUUUCUCAGCUUGCCUCAUGAGCGCCUCUUCUUCUUCACUCAGUCAUGUUUGCACUACUACAAAACAGCACCUUAUGAUGAAGAGCAUGUGUUUCAGAUGCAGAUCAAACCAGCUCUUAUCAGCCACUUCUAUCAGGCAGAGCAGCCCUCUUCAUGGGGAGUGGAGGUAUCUAGUGGGCAGGGGUCAAGAGAGGUGAAGACUUCCUGGCAUCUCAGUGAUAACCCUCUAGUGGAUCACAUCAGCUUUGACUCAGAUGUGCCACUGGAGGUCUCAGUGAAUGGAGAGAGUGAGAAGACUGCAUACUUCAGAACGAUGGUGUGCUGCAGCCUGGCCAACUUCAGUUAGCAGGUGCGUCUGUGAAGGAGAAACAUAAGAAAAAGUGCAGUGAUGAGAAUGCAGAGGGUGCACACAGUGGGAACGACUAUCUCUGUUACCAUCUCCAUGUGGUUGGUCAAGGGAUCUGAAACACAGGCACAAUAAAACACUGUUAUCACAAGCUUGUUAGCAUAGCUUCAUGCAAGCAAAGCAAUUUAGUGUUGUACCACUUGCUCAGAAUAGCUCAUAGUGCUUUGCUUGUAUUUUUCUUUCUUUCUUUUUUUUUUUUUUUUUUUUAACACUUAACUCAUCUGCAUGAUGCUAUACUGAGUUUGCAUUUGAAAGCCAGGGCACUUGAAAGUUUGAUACUUUUUCAGAUGUUCAUUAGCCAUUUCUGUUCGAGUGUGUGUAUGAUGUCUGAUGGCUUACCAUGAAUAAGUCUUAAAAUAUUGGUAGCUGUACUUCUCUGUUCCUCUAAUAAAAAAAAAAAGAGAGAAAUGCGCUUAGGCUGGAAUCAGGGCAGUUGAACCCUUUCAUCACGUAAGACCAUAGACAAAGCACAGAACUUAUUCUACACACUGGUUAUAACAGCUACUCACUCAUGAAGUAUCUUCUAGAUCUUGUCUAGAACCUUACACCUGUGGUGAUUUUAAUGAAUUGGUUCAUCAACAUAUGAUUAUAGUCAUGUUCUAACACUUUUACCAUGACUAGAGAGCCAUCUUUUAACGCAUGGAUUUUAAAUGCCACGUUUGAGGACCCACUGCAUUGCACCCACUGAAUUUCAAUGUUUCCAUGUUUUCAAUUUAUGAAAAGUACUGAAGUAAAAAGAAAAAGAAAAAAAAAAAAAAACUUUUUGUGGAGUUUUAUAUUCGGUGAAGUUCUCCUCUAUGGCAGCUGUCAAAAUACAUUCACCAGCCACUUUAUUAUGAACACCUGUAUACCUGCUCAUUCAUGCAAUUACCCAAACAGCCAGUCAUGUCACAGCAGUACAACUUACAGAAUCAUGUAGAUAGAGAUCAAGAGCUUCAGUUAAUGUUCAUGUCAAAAAUAAAAAAAGGGAGAAAAUGUGAUCUCGGUGACUUUGACCAUGGCAUGGUUGUUGGUAAUAGACGGGCUGAUUGGGGUAUUUCAUUACGGCUGAUCUCCUACACAGUUGAAGCUUGGACAAAGACCCGGCAACAUUUUUCCAAUCUUCAGUUGUCCAGUUUCGGUGAGCCUGUACCCAUUGUAUCCUCAGAUUCCUGUUCUCUGCUGAAAGGAAUGUAGCCUGAAGUGAUUUUCUGCUGGUGUAACCCAGCCGCCUCAGGUUUCGGCAUGUUGUGCAUUCUGAGAUGCUUUUCUGUUCACCACAGUUGUACAGAGCGGUUAUUUGAGUUACUGUAGCUUUGCUGUCUGGCCAUUCACCUUUGACCUCCCUCAUGGACAAGACAUUUCUGCCCGCAGAACUGCCGCUGUUUUUAGUUUUUUUACACCACUCUGUGUAAACUCUGACUGUUUUGUGUGAAAGUCCCACGGGAUCAGCAGUCUCUGAAAUACUUAAACCAGUCUGUCUGGCACCAACAUCCAUGCCAUGGGUCAAAGUCACUGGGAUCACAUUAUUUCCCCAUUCUGAAAUUUGAUGUGAACAUUAAUUAAAGCUGUUGACCUGUAUUUGCAUGACUGUUUUUGCAUUGUGCUGCUGCCACAUGAUUGACUGAUUGGAUAAUUGCAUGAAUGAGCAGGUGUACAGGUGUUCCUAAUAACACUAACACUAUACUCAGUGAGUAUAUAUGCAUAGGGAAAAACCUCUACAAGAAUUCCCCUCAUUUAGGCGAUCCUGCCUAGGCAGUGUGCGUGCAUGUGUUUUGGAUUUUGAGCUUCACAUCAGCUAGCUUCAUACAACUACUACCAAAAUUGCUGACUGUACCUUUUAAUAAUGCUGAAAACCCUACUCUAAUGUAGCUGUUAUAUAAGUGGUGAAGACGUACUAACCUGCAGCCAGGAGCCGGUUGCUAGCUGAACACAUCUCUGCAGCCUUCCUCUUCCAGUUCUCAACCUGCCAAUGGCCAUAUGAAACACACAUUUUAUCAGUACUGGUGUGUCUUCGUGUCUUCAGGAAAUUUUGCAUUAGAGGCUCAAAAAUGACUACUCCAUGAAGAAACAGAUGAGAACUACAAACUAUUCAUUUUUGUACACGUUCUUGUGUCAUAUUAAACAUGUAUGUAUAAAUAAUUCAGUAUAUUUGUAAUAAAUGCCCUUGCAAUGUUAA